GAUGAACGCUGGCGGCGUGCCUAAUACAUGCAAGUCGAGCGAAUGGAUUAAGAGCUUGCUCUUAUGAAGUUAGCGGCGGACGGGUGAGUAACACGUGGGUAACCUGCCCAUAAGACUGGGAUAACUCCGGGAAACCGGGGCUAAUACCGGAUAAUAUUUUGAACUGCAUGGUUCAAAAUUGAAAGGCGGCUUCGGCUGUCACUUAUGGAUGGACCCGCGUCGCAUUAGCUAGUUGGUGAGGUAACGGCUCACCAAGGCAACGAUGCGUAGCCGACCGGGGGGGGUGAUCGGCCACACUGGGACUGAGCCACGGCCCAGACUCCUACGGGAGGCAGCAGUAGGGAAUCUUCCGCAAUGGACGAAAGUCUGACGGAGCAACGCCGCGUGAGUGAUGAAGGCUUUCGGGUCGUAAAACUCUGUUGUUAGGGAAGAACAAGUGCUAGUUGAAUAAGCUGGCACCUUGACGGUACCUAACCAGAAAGCCACGGCUAACUACGUGCCAGCCGCCGCAGUAA
rnacentral:rRNA from 1 species